UUCCUGCCUGGCCGCAGUGACAGUGAAGAAGGAUCGUAACAGACUGGAGAGAGAAGGACUAACUAGAAAUAUCGAGACUACUCACUAUCUGCUGCUCAUAUGACUGCGACUGACUCUUCAAUUGACCAGUUUCCUGUUUGCGCGUCACAAAGUACAGGGCAGAGUUGGUGGUGCACGCUCCCUGGGUGCCCGUAUCAGAUGCUUUGGACCCCCAGGAGAAAGGACAUCACAGAAGCAAGACCAGAGGCCUCAUCUGUCAAUAUCCACGUUGCUU